UCCUUGGUGGCUUAGACAGUAAAGAAUCUGCUUGCAAUGCAGAAGUCCCAAGUUUAAUCCCUGGGCUAGGAA
rnacentral:tRNA from 1 species